AUGAAGAUCAGGCUGUCUUUGGCUGCCGCUGCACUCUUUACUAUAUUACUGAAUUCAGUAGAGGCUCAAGGUAUAGUCCAUCCUCCUUCAGACUUGAAAUUUAAAAUCUUAAAUGAAAACACAGUGCAUAUGUCAUGGAGGAGGCCUUCGUCUCAGAUACAGGGCUACAGAAUACAAGUCAUAUCAGAUACAGAUUAUUUGAAAGAUUUCAGUCUUCCUGCCUCGGUCACAAACACAUCAAUCACGGAUUUAACUCCAGAUGUAGACUAUUCAGUGUCUAUCAAUUCAUAUGAUGGUGCGGAAGAAAGUAUCCCUAUCCUUGGACAAAUAACAAUUCAAUCCAGCAACACAAGUGGAACAAAGAGGCCACCGUCAGAGGCUGUCAAGUGUUCAGUGAGUGCUAUCGCGGAUCUGGUUUUCCUGGUGGAUGGCUCUUGGAGCGUGGGAAGAGAAAACUUUAAAUUCAUCCGGAGUUUCAUUGGGGCCAUGGCGGGAGCUUUUGACAUUGGAGAGGAUAAGACCAGAGUGGCUGUGGUGCAGUACAGCUCAGAUACCAGGACAGAGUUCAACCUGAACCAGUAUUACAGGCGGCCUGAUGUCCUGCGAGCCAUUAAAAAUCUGCCCUACAAGGGUGGUAACACCAUGACAGGUGAUGCAAUGGACUAUCUGGUGAAAAACACUUUCACUGCGGCGGCUGGAGCCAGGAAAGGCUUUCCAAAAGUAGCCAUGAUCAUCACGGAUGGAAAGUCACAAGACCCAGUAGGGGAGUACGCAGAACGCCUGAGGAACAUUGGAGUAGAGAUCUUUGUCCUGGGUAUCAAAGGAGCAGAUGAGGAUGAGUUAAAGGAGAUAGCCUCCACUCCCCACAGCAAGCAUAUCUAUAAUGUCCCAAACUUCGACAUGAUCAAUCAGUUGCAGCUGGAGCUCAUCACGCAGGUGUGCUCUGGUGUGGAGGAGCAGCUAAAUUUGCUUGCAAGCGGAGAGGAAGUUGUUGAACCAGCUUCAGACCUCAGAGUAACUGACGUCUCCUCCAAAUCCAUGAGAAUUAGGUGGGAUUCGUCUCCUGGUGACAUCACAGGCUAUAAGCUGCAGGUCUUCCCCAUGAUUGCUGGCGCCAAGAAGCAGGAGCUCUACACAGGGCCCACAUUCACCGUGGCCAAUGUCAGAGACCUGUCUCCUGAGACAGAGUAUGAGAUCAGUCUGUUUGCCCUCAAAGGUCUGACUCCUAGUAAGCCACAAGUUGUCAACGAGAAAACACAGCCUGUGAAGGUGUCUACAGAGUGCUCCCAAGAGGUCGAGGUCCAAGCUGAUAUUGUCCUCCUGGUCGAUGGCUCGUACAGUAUAGGACUGUCUAACUUUGCUAAAGUUAGAGCCUUCCUUGAAGUGCUCGUCAAUUCUUUUGACAUCGGACCCAACAAAGUGCAGAUCAGCUUGGUUCAGUACAGCCGGGAUCCACACACUGAGUUUGCCCUGAACAAGCACGAUGACAAUGCAGCUGUGCUCAAUGCAGUCCGCACCUUCCCCUACCGUGGAGGCUCCACCAACACUGGCAAGGCCAUGACCUACGUAAGGGAAAAGAUCUUCAUUCCAGCCCGUGGCGCUCGUGAUAACGUGCCCCGAGUCAUGGUGCUCAUCACAGAUGGUAAAUCCUCGGAUUCUUUCAAAAACCCUGCCAACAAACUAAGGGAUGCAGACGUGGAGAUUUUCGCCGUGGGAGUCAAGGACGCCGUGCGCUCCGAGCUGGAGGCGAUUGCCAACGCACCUGCUGAUAACCAUGUGUUUGAGGUGGAAGACUUUGAUUCCUUUCAGCGGAUCUCCAAGGAACUAACCACAUCCAUCUGUCUAAGAAUUGAGCAGGAGCUCCAUAACAUCAAGAAAAGAAGUUUGGUUCCACCAAAGUCGCUAAGCUUCUCUGAGGUCACCUCCAGAAGCUUCAGGACCUCGUGGAUUUCUGACGGAGAGGAUGUCCUGUCUUUUCUGGUGCGUUUCAGGCCAGCGGCUGACGUAACUGGAGACUACAUCUCUUUGGUGGUUCCUCCUGACACCACCACUACGAUUUUGCCCAAUCUCACGCCCCUGACCACUUACGAGGUUAAUGUCAUCGCCCAGUAUGAUAAAGGAGACAGUUUUCCUUUGACAGGCGAGGAGACGACUUUAGAAGAAUUAGGCUCUGUCCGUAACCUCGUGGUGAGUGAUGAGACCGUAGACAGCUUCCGCGUGUCGUGGAGAGCCGCUCCAGGAGCAGUGCUGAGGUACAGACUGUUGUAUGAGCCAGUGGGUGGAGGAGAUAAACUGGAAGCACAGACUGAUGGGAGUCAGGUCACCAUUGUGCUCCACGAACUGCUACCCGUCACCACUUACCGUGUCACAGUGUACCCCGAGUAUGCAAGUGGAAUGGGUCCCUCCAUGGACACUGAGGGCACCACCAAAGAAGUCCGGGGCUCUCCACGUGACCUGAGGGUCUUCAACGAGACCGUGUCCAGCAUGAGGGUCUCAUGGCGGGCCGCUCCAGGCAAUGUGCUGCAAUAUCAAGUGGCCUACAAACCUGAUGGUGGGGAAAGAAAAGAAAUGUUUGUUAAAGGAGACGCAACAACGGCUUUGCUGAGAAAUCUGUCACCAGACACCGAGUAUGAGAUCUUCGUUAGUGCCCGUUACACCUCUGGCCUCGGAGCGCCACUGAUGGGAACAGGCACUACUCUGGAAGAACUCGGCUCACCUACGAAUCUGGUUACUUCAGAUGUCACUGAGAGCAGUUUUGUGGCAUCCUGGACUGCCGCCCCUGGCAACGUCCGCCUUUAUCGGGUCACCUGGAAAUCCCUCUUUUCAGAGGAAGCUGGCGAGAAAACCGUCCCCGGGGACAUAACCACCACUGUUCUGGACGGACUGACUCCGGAGACCCGCUACAAGGUUUCUGUCUACGCUGCCUACAGCAGUAAGGAGGGAGAGCCACUCCAUGGAGAGGAGACCACAGAUGUGUCAGCCGCUGCCAGAGUUCUUACGGUUUCAGAAGAAACAGAGAGGACCAUACGAGUAACAUGGCAGCCAGCACCUGGCAAUGUUGUCAAUUAUAGGGUAUCGAAUAAACCUCAGGGUNNNNNNNNNNNNNNNNNNNNNNNNNNNNNNNNNNNNNNNNNNNNNNNNNNNNNNNNNNNNNNNNNNNNNNNNNNNNNNNNNNNNNNNNNNNNNNNNNNNNNNNNNNNNNNNNCUUCUCUCUUGCAUUUUUCUUAUAUAUAUAUAUAUAUAUAUAUAUAUAUCAAAAGUGGAUUCGGACACACCCUCAGUGCACCUGCACCGUGCGCUUUAGACCAUGUGCUUAGAUCUGUGUUUGGUAUGUUUGAUGGAGGAGAGAGUAUGCCACUGGCUGGAGAGGAGAAGACCACCCUCUCUGACGCCCCUGAACCCCCACCCUUUGAUAUUUCAGAGGUAAUGUGCAAAACCACAGCCCAGGCCGAUAUCAUCCUGCUUGUUGAUGGAUCUUGGAGCAUUGGUCGUCUGAACUUCAAGACUAUAAGGUCUUUCAUUGCUCGCAUGGUGGGUGUCUUUGACAUCGGGCCGGAUCGUGUCCAGAUCGGUCUGGCACAAUACAGUGGAGACCCAAAGACUGAGUGGCACCUAAACUCUCACAGGACCAGAAAAGAGCUGCUGGAUGCCGUGGCCAAUCUACCCUACAAAGGAGGAAACACUCUGACUGGCCUUGCUUUAAACUACAUCCUUCAGAACAAUUUCAAGGCUAAUGUUGGAAUGCGUCCGAACUCUCGGAAGAUCGGCGUCCUGGUUACUGAUGGCAAGUCUCAGGAUGACAUCAUGGUCAACUCUCAGAACCUACGCGACCAGGGCAUUGAGCUGUAUGCCAUUGGUGUGAAGAACGCAGAUGAGAAUGAGCUGAGAUCCAUUGCUUCAGAUCCCGAUGACAUCCACAUGUACAAUGUGGCUGACUUCUCCUUCCUGCUGGACAUCGUGGACGACCUGACAAACAACCUAUGUAACAGUGUCAAGGGUCCAGGAGGAGGUCCCGAGCCACCCACUGAUCUAACGACCUCAGAAGUGACCCAUUACUCCUUCCGCGCCACCUGGGUUGCCCCUGAUGGACCCGUGGAGAAGUACAGAAUAGAGUAUGUGAGCAUCGCAGGAGGAGAACCACAAAAGUUGCUUGUCGACGGGACGGUGACGACUGUGGUCUUGGAGAAUCUCACUCCGCUGACGGAGUACAUCGUGAAGGUUCACUCAGUGGUGGGAGAGGACAGCAGCGACCCCCUCAAAGGCUCAGAGACGACAUUGCCUAUUCCUCCGUCCGGUGAGUUGAGGAUCACAGACGUUACCCACAGCACCAUGCAGCUGGACUGGGAUCCAUCGCCCGGUGCCGUUCGUAAAUACAUAAUCACUUACAAGCCAGAGGAUGGAGAGUCGAAGGAGAUGCGUGUGAAAGGAACAGUUACUGACGUCCAGCUGAAGAAACUUCGUCCCAACACGGCCUUCAGAGUUUCCGUCUUCGCCCUGUUCGGCGAUUUUGCCAGUGAACCUCUCUCUGAUCGGGGGGUGACCCUGCCUAUUCCUCCGUCCGGUGAGUUGAGGAUCACAGACGUUACCCACAGCACCAUGCAGCUGGACUGGGAUCCAUCGCCCGGUGCCGUUCGUAAAUACAUAAUCACUUACAAGCCAGAGGAUGGAGAGUCGAAGGAGCUUGAAGUUGACGGAGAUGUAAUGUCUAGAGGACUGGAUAAUCUCAUUUCCCAAACGGAAUACGAUGUGGCUGUCACUCCUGUGUAUGAUUCUGGGACCGGAAACCCAAUGCUUAACCAAGCCAUUACAGACGUUGUCCCUGCCCCGAAGAAUUUGAGGUUCUCUCAAGUGACCCAGACCAGUUUCAGGGCUCACUGGGAGCACGGCGCUCCUGAUGUCUCCCUCUACCGCGUCGGCUGGACCAAGAGUGGAGAGAACAACUUUCAAUAUGAUAUCCUGAGCAGCGAGGACACCACUCUCCUUCUGGAGAACCUGGAGCCAGACACCCUCUAUGAUGUUUCUGUCACUGCCAUUUACCCCGAUGAAUCUGAGAGCGAAGAUCUUCUGGGCAGCCAACGCACAUCUCCUAGUGGACCUCCUCAGAACCUCCAGGUGUUCAAUGCGACUACCACCUCCCUCACCACCAAGUGGGAUCACGCUCCUGGACGAGUGCAGAACUACAGGAUCACCUACGUACCGGUUGCAGGAGGAAGAUCACAGUCGACACAGAUUGGAGGGAAGAAAAACACAGUUAAUCUGCAGAAACUGACUCCAGACACUCCCUACUACAUCACAGUUGCUGCAGUCUAUGCGAAUGGAGAUGCCAAAGACAUUUCUGGCCAAGGAAAGACAUUACCACUGGGCAGUGUGAGAAACCUUCAGGUCACGGACCCCACGGUCAGCACUCUGAAUGUACGCUGGGAGCCGGCUGAAGGGAGCGUACGGCAAUACAGGAUUUACUACCAGACCGUCACAGGGGGCGCAGAAGACAUGGUACGUCCCAUGGCACCUCCUAACACGUAUAUUAUGUUCCGGGUCAAUUUGACCCGUGUUUUUGAGCUGUCUGAAAUACUGCAUAAUAAUAUAAAAAUCACAGACACUUGGAGUUUGUCUCUCUUGGUCCAGGUUCCUGGAAGCACCACCAGUACAGUUCUGAAGAACCUGCAGUCUGAUACUGAGUACACAGUAACAGUGGUGCCAGUAUACGCUCCUGGAGAGGGCAAGCGCAUGUCGGAGAACGGAAAAACCUGUGAGUUGAUGCACUUGUUCUGUUCUGCUUUUUGUUUUCAUGCACCAUUCACGAUGUGUGUUACCGAAAGCUGUACACAUUUACUGUUAAGGCAAGACACCCCAAGUGAAUCGGAUAAAAUACAGAAUUUAAAUAAUAGAUAUAACCUAAACAUCCGGGUUUACAACCCCACCACAAACACCCUGAAUGUGCGCUGGGAGCCGGCCUCCGGAGAUGUGCUGCAGUACCGCGUCGCCUACACCCCCCUCUCUGGAACCCGUUCCGCUCAAUCUGUAAGUCAAGUCAAGUCAAGUCAAGUCACCUUUAUUUAUAUAGCGCUUUUAACAAUACAGAUUGUGUCAAAGCAACUGAACAGGAACACCCACACUGCCUUGCUGCAGCAGCUCGAUUCAGACACAGACUAUGCUGUGAGUGUGGUGGCUCUGUAUGCUGACGGCGAGGGCUCCUCUGUGUCAGAUAAUGGAAAAACAAUGCCCCGCGGCGGCCCUAGGAACCUGCGUGUGUAUGAUCCGACCACCAGCACGCUGUCUGUCAGCUGGGAGCAUGCAGAAGGACCCGUGCUGCAGUACCGCAUUGGCUAUGCACCCACCACUGGAGAUCCCAUUGAGGAGUUUACAAGUGUCCCUGGCAACAGGAACUCUGUCAUCUUGCAAAACCUGCAGCCAGACACUCCGUACAACAUCAACGUAGAGGCUAUUUAUCAAGAUGGGCCUGGAGGACAACUGUCUGGAGAUGGAAAAACAUUGGGUCUCUUGGAGCCUCGUAACCUGCGUGUUUCUGAUGAGUGGUACACUCGUUUCCGAGUGUCCUGGGAUCCUGUACCUGCGCGGGUCAACGGUUAUAAUCUGGUCUAUACCCCAGUGGGCACGGAUAACACCAUGGAAGUGUUUGUUGGAGAUGUUACUACACACAUCCUGCACAACCUCCAGCCUGGCACCACGUACGACCUGAAGGUUUACGCUCAGUAUGACGCAGGCGUGAGCGGCGCUCUGGUCGGACAAGGAACCACCUUGUACCUUAAUGUGACUGACCUCACCACAUACAAUGUCGGCUAUGACUCCUUCUGCAUCAGAUGGACGCCUCACCGAGCCGCCACCUCUUACAGGCUAAAACUCAAUCCUUUCAAUUCGGCUAACCGUGGGGCUCAGGAGGUCACUAUCACUGCCGCUGAGAGCCAGUACUGUUUUGAUGGGCUGACGCCAGACGCGCUGUACAACGCCACAGUCUACACACAGACCCCCAACCAGGAGGGGCCCGGAGUCAGUGUCAAAGAGCGCACACUGGUGAAGCCCACCGUAGCCCCAACACCACCUCCAACUCCUCCACCACCACCCACCAUCCCUGCUGCACUCGAGGUGUGCAAAGGAGCCAAGGCUGACCUGGUGUUCCUGAUCGACGGCUCGUGGAGCAUUGGAGAUGACAGCUUCAUUAAAGUCCGUCAGUUUCUCUUCAGCAUGAUCGGAGCAUUUGAUGUCAUCAACCGUGAUGGCAUGCAGGUGUCUUUUGUGCAGUACAGUGAUGAAGCUAAAACUGAGUUCAAACUGAACACCUACCACGACAAGGGAAUGGUGCUGUCCGCCCUUCAGAUGGUCAAAUACAGAGGAGGAAACACCAAAACAGGUGCUGCGCUGAAGCAUAUCGGAGACAAAGUGUUCACAUCAGACAGUGGUAUGAGGAGAACCGUUCCCAAGGUUCUGGUCGUAGUAACUGACGGCCGUUCUCAAGAUGAUGUGAAGAAGAGUGCUGCUAAACUACAGCAUGCAGGCUUCAGUGUGUUUGUGGUGGGUGUCGCAGACGUAGACACCGCUGAACUCAGGAACAUUGGAAGCAAGCCCAGCGAGAGACACGUCUUCAUCGUUGAUGACUUUGACGCGUUUACUAAGAUCCAAGACAACCUCAUUACAUUCAUCUGUGAAACGGCAACAUCCAGUAGGACGUCAUUCUUUACAAGAGUCAAACUCUUUCCUGUAUACUUUUACAGCUUGUCCUUUGAUUUACCUCGACGGAUUCACAUCCCCAGGUCAGAGGAAAUCCAUCCAGAUGGUCUUCCUCCCGCAUACACUCUGAUUCUCCUCUUCCGUCUCCUCCCCGACACCGGCAAGGAUGCAUUUGAUAUUUGGCAGAUAUCAGAUAAGAACAACAACCCUGAGGUCGGGCUCACCAUUGACCCCUCCAGUAGAAUCAUCUCAUUCUACAAUAAGGACUCCAGAGGUGAAAUUCAGAAAGUCUCCUUUGAUAACGACCGAGUGAAGAAAGUUUUCCACGGCAGUUUCCACAAGCUUCACAUUUCUAUUUCACCGAAAAAUGUCAAACUCAACAUUGACUGCCAAGAGGUGGCUGAGAAAGAGAUCAAAGAGGCCAACAACAUAUCCACAGAUGGCUAUGAAGUCCUUGGAAAAAUGGCAAAGUCUGGCGGUUCAAGGAAGCAGUCAGCCACAUUCCAGCUCCAGAUGUUUGAUAUUGUCUGCAGUUUGGGCUGGACAAGUCGAGACAAAUGUUGUGAUAUUCCAGCAAUGGUAAGCAGGGGUUGUGCAUGGAUUGUUAUCUUACGGGGUGGGUUUUUGUCUACUGGUUCAAUGGGCCCACGUGGGGAGCAGGGUCUGCCAGGACAAAUGGGACCACCAGGUCCACAGGGCCCUAAUGGACUGUCUCUUCCUGGUGAACCAGUAAGUAAAGCACAAAACUCUGUCCAUUGCCAUUUGUCAAAUUUGUAUCGCCCCUUACAGAAUAUAAUUAGUCAUUAUUGA
ensembl:lncRNA